GUGAGCGCCUCCCUGGGGACCCCCCAGAGCCCCUGAAAGAGGGAGGAGAGAGUAUGUGUCACAGGGAGAAACCACCUGUGGUUGGCAGGAGCCUCUCGGUCAAGUCGUGGCCCGCGCGGGCCGCGGUGCGGGUGUCCCCGGAGCUGGCGGGGUGGGGACCGCGCGGCCCUCCACUGCCUGCGGCGCCCGCGCCUCCGCCGGGCUCCCGACCGCGGCGUGCGCUCGCGGUGCCCGGUUCCUUC
rnacentral:lncRNA from 1 species